rnacentral:lncRNA from 1 species
CAUGAAAAAUAUUGUUUCUAAAAUUGUGUAUAAAACUUCCUCGAAAUGGGUGGAAAAUUGGUGUGUCGUCUUAAUAUAGUGUAGGUAGACCGCCUAUCAAAUUUCGUCGCUUUUGGAGGUCGUGUGAUACCCCAAUGGACAACUCUAGCAGCAUCGUCAUCGGUUUAAAUAUCGGACGUUUUCGCGGUUUUAAAAACUCUAUCACGGGCUGCCAUCUUCCCUCUCUUCUUAGUCCUAGCCUAGCUACACAACUCAUCUAGUAUAACCCUCCGAUCAGAGCCAUCGGAUCAUGAUUCUACGGUCCAAAAAUGGAUGAAACCCCCUAAACCUAGCCCCCUCCUAUAUAAGGAAGCCUACCCGUGCCCAAAAUGAAACCUUAGCCCUGUGCCUCCAUUUCCAUAAGGGCAUGAUCUAUGGGGGCAUCACCUCGGUGUGGUUCCAGCCUCCACCUAAGAAAAAUAAUAAUGGAGCCACCGUAUGAUUAUCCCACACCCAUCAGGAGCAGCACCUCUUCUAGUGGUCCACCUAUCUCUCUCUCUCUGUUACUACUUUUUUACUUCAUGGCUCAUUCUUCCUCCCCUCUCUCCUCCGGUCCGUGCUUUCCUUCUGCCUUUUUCAACGAGGAAGCGGACUCCUCUGCAAGAGCCCGUUUGGCUCUGCAAGCAACUGUCUUUUACCUAUUCUCUUCCACGGCAGCAACUCAUCUGACGUGGAUACAUGAGGCAGCGGUCCACCCUGGAGCGAUGGCCAUGCCCUAACAC